CACAUUUUGAAGAAAAGGAGACAUACAGUUGAAUGACCUUUCCUCCAGCUGCUUUUCUUUUACUUCAAGAGUAACAGAACACCAGAGAAGAAACAAUUUGUUCUGUAGAGUCACCAUUUGUCAGAAACAAGCAGGAGGGACAAUAAAUUGCAAAGCAAGCUCUGUUUCAAUGAGCCUCGACCAUCUGCUGUUAAUUGAGAUGUUUGAACACCUCAUGAAAAACAGACUCAUGAAUCUCUGUUUUACAUAUCUGCAGUAUUUCCAAGCACAGGCUGUCCUCCAUCUGAAGUUUCAUGAUGUAAGUCCAGUAUUCAUAUAGAUGCUCUGAAGGCAAGAGAAACAGGGAAGUGCUUUCCUGUCAUCCAGGUGUGCAUUUGUCUGUGGGGAAGCCUGCCAACCUGCUGGCAUACCUGACGUGAUCUGUCCUGCCCUCCACACCUGGGAAGUGCUAGUGGGGUACACGUUGACAUAACUGGGGAGGAAGCAAGUUUUCUCUUCUCUGACUGAGCUUUCUAAACAGUUCCUACUCAGAGGUGGCCCUCUUUCCCCCCAGGCCAUUUCUUCUCCACUCCACACUCUGCAACAUGACUGUAGUCUCAGCCUGAUACAAAAUCCUGCAAGCUUGUUUUGCUGUGAACCCAAUAAUUUGUGUCAAGAAUGCUUUUCUUUCAAACCCUG
rnacentral:lncRNA from 1 species